rnacentral:sRNA from 1 species
GCUGGGUGUGGUGGUGCACACCUAUAAUCCCAGCAGCUCGGGAGGCUGAGGCAGGAGGAUCUUGAGUUCAAAUCCAGCCUCAG